rnacentral:tRNA from 1 species
AGCCCCGGCAACACUUAGGGUGCUUGUUUCAAAUUUGCAAUUUGACGUGAAUCACUACUAGGGCUUG